rnacentral:lncRNA from 1 species
GUGGAAAGAUGACAAAUAAAGGAUACUGUCCCUGCCCUUCUAUAUCUAAUUCAUGAUAUUAACAGAACUGUCAAUAUUCUGGAUGCAACAGAAACCUGACUUGCCAGCUGGAUCAUUGGCAAAGGAGUCAGAAUAAGUGGGUAAUGCAACUACACACACGGAGACAAUUUUGAUGAAGGACUGAGGAGGGCGAAUCCUGAGCUGCCAGGACCCCUAUUCUUUUUACAACCCAAAGAAAACUUGAAAGAAAAUGAAGAACUUUGUCCUUAGAAACAAGCCAUCUGUUACAGAGCGGAGCAAACCAGCCAGGCCUCUGUGAGCCUCACAUCACUUCUGCCAGGCGCUGGCUGGGCAGCCUCUGUUGCAAGCUGUCUAGUCUCUAAUUCCUGUAACUCAGGAACAAUAUCAACUGGUUGAUGAAAUGUCUGGAAGAGUCCAGGGCAAAGUAAAUGCAGCAACAAACUCCAACUUAGCUCUGGCCAGGAGUGGCUCUGCAAAUUCUUUCUCCUUCUGGGACAGGCUGGAGGAGAGAGUUAAACCAGAGGAAAGCAAGAUUUUAGACACGUGCGAAAGGGUCCUCAGUCCCUGCUCCUCUCUCAGGCUGAGACUUUAGAAUCCCAGGUAAGUCUGGAAGGUCUGAUGGUAGGGUCAAUCUGUAUCUUGCUUCCUAACAGGACUUUUUGAAGACGCAGCCCACCUUGGCUGUCUCCUCUGUGCCACACAAAGGAGCUGAGAUGACUAGAAAGACUCUCGUUGCG